AUCAUUACCGAGUUUACCACUCCCAAACCCCCUGUGAACCUGUACCCGAACCUUCGCCCCCAGAGGGAUACGUCCCGGCCCGCCCCAUUAGAGGGUGCCGGAAACCAUGUCGGCCCGCUGGGGGAGCCCCGAAGUUCGAACUCUUGCCUUGGCGGGAUACGUCCCGGCCCGCCCCUGUAGAGGGUGCCGGAAACCAUGUCGGCCCGCCGAGGAACCCAAACUCUGUAUUCUGUCGCGGCAUGUCUGAGUGGAUUUACCAAUCAAAUGAAUCAAAACUUUCAACAACGGAUCUCUUGGUUCUGGCAUCGAUGAAGAACGCAGCGAAAUGCGAUAAGUAAUGUGAAUUGCAGAAUUCAGUGAAUCAUCGAAUCUUUGAACGCACAUUGCGCCCGCCAGUACUCUGGCGGGCAUGCCUGUUCGAGCGUCAUUUCAACCCUCGAGCCCCCCGCGGCUCGGUGUUGGGGACCGGCUCCCGGGGGCCCGCCACACGCGCGGGCGCCCCCCGCCGCCCCCUAAAUGCAUCGGCGGCCACGCCGCGGCGACCCCUGCGCAGUAACAUACCACCUCGCAGACGGUAGCGCGGCGCGGCCACUGCCGCAAAACGCCCAACUCCUCAAGAGUUGACCUCGAAUCAGGUAGGAAUACCCGCUGAACUUAAGCAUAUCAAUAAGCGGAGGAAAAGAAACCAACAGGGAUUGCCCCAGUAACGGCGAGUGAAGCGGCAACAGCUCAAAUUUGAAAUCUGGCCCCCCGGGGCCCGAGUUGUAAUUUGCAGAGGAUGCUUUUGGCGAGGCGCCUUCCGAGUUCCCUGGAACGGGACGCCAUAGAGGGUGAGAGCCCCGUCUGGUCGGACGCCGAGCCUCUGUAAAGCUCCUUCGACGAGUCGAGUAGUUUGGGAAUGCUGCUCUAAAUGGGAGGUAUAUGUCUUCUAAAGCUAAAUACCGGCCAGAGACCGAUAGCGCACAAGUAGAGUGAUCGAAAGAUGAAAAGCACUUUGAAAAGAGGGUUAAACAGUACGUGAAAUUGUUGAAAGGGAAGCGCUUGUGACCAGACUUGGGCCCGGCGGAUCACCCAGCGUUCUCGCUGGUGCACUCCGGCGGCCCAGGCCAGCAUCAGCUCGCGCCGGGGGACAAAGGCGGCGGGAACGUGGCUCCCCCGGGAGUGUUAUAGCCCGCCGCGCAAUGCCCUGGCGCGGGCUGAGGACCGCGCAUCUGCAUGAUGUAGAGGACU
rnacentral:misc_RNA from 1 species